rnacentral:rRNA from 1 species
AUUGAACGCUGGCGGCAGGCCUAACACAUGCAAGUCGAGCGAGCGGCGGACGGGUGAGUAAUGUAUGGGGAUCUGCCCGAUAUCGGGGGAUAACUACUGGAAACGGUGGCUAAUACCGCAUACUAUCGGAUGCACCCAUAUGGAAUUAGCUAGUAGGUGGGGUAAAGGCUCACCUAGGCCACGAUCCCUAGCUGGUCUUAGAGGAUGACCGGCCACACUGGAACUGAGACAGGGUCCAGACUCCUACGGGAGACAGCAGUAGGGAAUAUUGCACAAUGGGCGCAAGACUGAAGCAGCCAUGCCGCGUGUGUGAAGAAGGCCUUAGGGUUGUAAAGCACGUGCAGCGAAGAGGCGUUACUCGCAGAGGAAGCACCGGCUAACUCCGUGCCAGGCGCCGCGGUAAUAC